CGCUGGCCUGCCUGCCUGCCUCCCGGCCGGCUACCGCCCGAUCGACCGAACCGCACACCCGAACCGUCCGGUGGGGCCCACCUCCCUCCGGCCCCGUCUUUUUCCCCGCCCCGCCGCGCGACUUUCGUCUCGUUUUUUUUUUCUCCUCCUUCCUUCUCCCCUCUCCUCACGCCGCCGCCGGCCGUGUCGCCGGAGUCCCAACGAUCCAGGGGCUUCUCCGAUCGGCAGCGAGACGCGCCCUCACCCUCGUCCUCGCCGCCGCCGCCGCCCCAUGAGACGACGUCCGCUUCACAUCCCAGCUUGAAUGGAAGCAACAACUUGUUAAUGAGUUGGAAUCUACGUCUCACAAGCAGAAACAUAUUUCAAGUAGAGGAGAACUUGUCAAGGAAAAGAUAAUCUUAUCUCAAGAAAAGAUGAUUCGGCUAUUGAAUGAGCACAUCCAGAAUCUUCAGCAACAAUUGCUGCAAUGCCGUGUCAAUAAUAGGACGGCCAAUUCUUCUGGAUCUUCUUUGACAUCAUAUAUUGGUGAGAUCCAAAGGCAGCAGAUGAUGGAUGAUUGAUAAGGCGAGAAGCCGACGAACCAUGUAUAACAAUCCAGUGGGAUGUGCGAUUCCAGAUCGUACCGGUAGUCAUUUCUCCUAGAAAUGAUGUAGUGUUAGUCUGUAUAGAAUAGUGAUAUAGUCAAAGCAAAGGACAAGGCUUUGUCGAUUAAAAGAACAUUGGUUUAACAGGAUUAAAUUCAUUUUCUUUACUCAUAAGUAGACCUUUGUAUGUCUAUUCAGUUAUUUUUUUUAGAACACAUGUCUAUUCAGUUAUAAUUUACAUAUGUGUUUACAAUGUAAGCAUUAUGUUGCUUUGUUCAUAAAAUAUGUUUUUUCUAUUGUUUUAUUAAA